GGGAAUAGAGCGCAGGAUCAGAAGGUUGGGAUUGGAGAGCAGUUUGCUCCAAUGACGGAGGGUUUGGUUGGGCACCAGAAGUAAGAUGAUGGUGGCGGCUUUGUGGUGCUGUCUUCGCCGCUACCAUUGUCGAAUACUAUUGUGCCUUCCUCUACACCGGUGAGUUCUUCUUCAGCCCCUGAUUACCUGAAUCGGGUCGUCUUCGAUCACGAAAGAUCCAAUCACUGUGGACAUCAGAAACCGCUUCCUCCUUAGCCUCAGCAACAAAAUCUACCUCCUCAAUCUCAGCCCAAAUCUACUGGAAAAUUUUGAUUUGCCAUCGCCAGAUUCAAUGUCAAGGCACUGAGAGCAUUAGGUACUUGAUUGAUUGACCAAUGACAAGCAGAAUACAAGGUAUCUUAAGGCUUCAAAUGAACUGGUGCGAUGUAAAAAUCUAAGAGUUCACGAUAUUUGCUUGACAAGAAGAUAUAGCUAGCAGAGGUAGCUAAUCCAUGUCGUGCUACGUUAUUUGCUUCAUCAUAAACAUGAUCAAUGUGGGCAACAUAAAUGAGAUUGAGAAAGGCAUGGAUGUCAUUGAUCACACGUCCAAACUUGGAAGUGUCAUCUGCUACACGCCUUACAAGGUUAACUAGGAGAGAGAGGCCAUCAAGUUCCAAGAUGGUGGUUUCGGUGACUGUUGAAUAGAAUUAGAAGGAUAGCAGAGGCAUAUAUAUGGGUUAUGAAUAAUAGCAGAGGCAUAUGGGUUAGGAAAAACAACUUGUUGUUUUCCAUGUUCCAAAGUUUGUAUUUAUUUUUCUUUCAUGUGUUUACAAUGACAGGAUUAUCGCUCUGGUUUUGGCU